AUACGUAGGUGGCAAGCGUUAUCCGGAAUUAUUGGGCGUAAAGAGGGAGCAGGCGGCAGCAAGGGUCUGUGGUGAAAGCCUGAAGCUUAACUUCAGUAAGCCAUAGAAACCAGGCAGCUAGAGUGCAGGAGAGGAUCGUGGAAUUCAUGUGUAGCGGUGAAAUGCGUAGAUAUAUGGAGGAACCCCAGUGGCGAAGGCGACAAUCUGGCCUGCAACUGACGCUCAGUCCCGAAAGCGUGGGGAGCAAAUAGGAUUAGAUACCCUAGUAGUCCACGCCGUAAACGAUGAGUACUAAGUGUUGGAUGUCAAAGUUCAGUGCUGCAGUUAACGCAAUAAGUACUCCGCCUGAGUAGUACGUUCGCAAGAAUGAAACUCAAAGGAAUUGGCGGGG
rnacentral:rRNA from 1 species